CCUACGGGAGGCAGCAGUGAGGAAUAUUGGUCAAUGGGCGCGCGCCUGAACCAGCCAAGUCGCGUGAGGGAAGACGGUCCUAUGGAUUGUACACCUCUUUUGUCGGGGAGCAAAAGACGCCACGCGUGGCGUUCCGAGAGUACCCGACGAAAAAGCAUCGGCUAACUCCGUGCCAGCAGCCGCGGUAAUACGGGGGAUGCGAGCGUUAUCCGGAUUUAGUGGGUUUAAAGGGUGUGCAGGCGGCAGAUCAAGUCAGCGGUAAAAUUUAGGGGCUCAACCUCGUCGAGCCGUUGAAACUGUGUUUCUUGAGUGAGUGAGAAGUAUGCGGAAUGCGUGGUGUAGCGGUGAAAUGCAUAGAUAUCACGCAGAACGCCGAUUGCGAAGGCAGCAUACCGGCGCUCAACUGACGCUGAUGCACGAAAGUGUGGGUAUCGAACAGGAUUAGAUACCCGGGUAGUC
rnacentral:rRNA from 1 species